rnacentral:rRNA from 1 species
CGUUAACUGACUAUUCAUAGUGCAGGGCUCCUNCAUGCAUAAAACUUGGGGUGAAUGACUCAACCUCCUGCCCCCGUGGUCACCCUGACGGUUACACUCCCCUGGGAGCCGCCCGUCUCCGUACCGGCGGCCUGGGUCCUACGGAGGGAGCUAGCGUUGUUCGGAAUUACUGGGCGUAAAGCGCACGUAGGCGGCUAUUCAACUCAGAGGUGAAAGCCCGGGGCUCAACCCCGGAACUGCCUUUGAAACUACAUAGCUUGAAUCCAGGAGAGGUGAGUGGAAUUCCGAGUGUAGAGGUGAAAUUCGUACAUAUUCGGAAGAACACCAGUGGCGAAGGCGGCUCACUGGACUGGUAUUGACGCUGAGGUGCGAAACCGUGGGGAGCAAACAGGAUUAGAUACCCUGGUAGUCCACGCCGUAAACGAUGAUAACUAGCUGUCCCGGCACAUGGUGUUUGGUGGCCCAGCUACCGCAUUAAGUCAUCCGCCUGGGGAGUACGGUCGCAAGAUUAAAACUCAAA